AAUGCAACUAAAACAUACCGAUUCGAACGCCUCAAUAAUCGUGCUCCAAGGAGUGUACGCAUGUAUAUAUAAGUGCAUGCAUGUGUACGUAUUGUUUCUUCUAAGGAGUGAUUUGUUGUGUUAGGUAUUUAUAGGGUCUCAGUGGUGUAGAGAUCUAACCUCAAUUUUCAUGGCCAUUGUAGGGUGCAAUGGGGCAAUGGCAUAUGCUUAAGGACAUGCUUCGUCUAGAUGAUACGUUGAAAGAGAAAGAGGCGAAGGAUGCGUAAAUCUACCACAUGUAAACUUUCGAUUAUUUGGUAGAGUGUCGAUGAGUGGUAAGAGGUGACCACUCAUAUAUUCUCUCUAACAUUUUUAAAUCUAUGUCUUUUGAUAAUUUUUAAGAGCUAAUAUUCUGGACACACUGAUUGAUUUUGUCAUUCGUUAAAAGUCAAGAUAAAUUCGAACUACUGCUAUAAUUGGUGGAAUCCGAUUCUG
rnacentral:lncRNA from 1 species